rnacentral:siRNA from 1 species
AUAUUAGUCAAGGUCCUUCCCACC